rnacentral:tRNA from 1 species
GUCGCUGUGGCGCAGCGGAUAGCGCGCUGAACUUCUAAUCCAGAGGCUGUAGGUUCGAAUCACACCAGGAAUA